GCAGCUCAGUUGUAGAGCAUCUGCUUUGAAUUCAGAAGGUCCAGGGUUCAAUCCCCAGCAUCUCCA